AUUGAACGCUGGCGGCAGGCCUAACACAUGCAAGUCGAGCGGAUGAAGGGAGCUUGCUCCUGGAUUCAGCGGCGGACGGGUGAGUAAUGCCUAGGAAUCUGCCUGGUAGUGGGGGAUAACGUCCGGAAACGGGCGCUAAUACCGCAUACGUCCUGAGGGAGAAAGUGGGGGAUCUUCGGAUCUCACGCUAUCAGAUGAGCCUAGGUCGGAUUAGCUAGUUGGUGGGGUAAAGGCCUACCAAGGCGACGAUCCGUAACUGGUCUGAGAGGAUGAUCAGUCACACUGGAACUGAGACACGGUCCAGACUCCUACGGGAGGCAGCAGUGGGGAAUAUUGGACAAUGGGCGAAAGCCUGAUCCAGCCAUGCCGCGUGUGUGAAGAAGGUCUUCGGAUUGUAAAGCACUUUAAGUUGGGAAGAAGGGCAGUAAGUUAAUACCUUGCUGUUUUGACGUUACCAACAGAAUAAGCACCGGCUAACUUCGUG
rnacentral:rRNA from 1 species